AUGCCCAUCAAAUCAGCAAAGAACAUCAUGUAUAAAUCCACAAGGCCCCAGGAAUCAGGUGUAAAUAAAGUUUGUGUCAUCUUCGGGACUAAGUGCGCGAACUACAGACUCCGAGUGCGUUGCGGAAGUAAGAAUUUGAGUGAUUUGCAUCGUGCACACCCAUUUUGUUUUUUCUCCCCCGUAUUUUUUCGACUCGUAGUUUAAUUCUCUGUCUACUUUGCGGGCAUUACUACCAAUAGUGCAUCACUGAAAUCAUUUCUGUGGUAUGCCAGGAUAAUGCGUGGUCCGAAAGGUAUACUCGGGUUUUAAGAAAGUGGUGCCGUUCUUGCGCGUGCCUCUCGCUAUCCCUCGCAAAAUCCAUCGUGAUGCGACCUCUAGACGAUCUAAGAACCGCGCUCCAAAAUGGUAAGCCUCUACUAAAUUUAUCUUAUUCUUCGUCACAUUGUUUUUCACACGUUUCAAAUCUGUUUUCAUCACAGUGAACCAAUUAGCUCGGAUCGUUUCCUUUUAAUAAAAGACAACAAAAAUGGAGACCUUACAACGUAAUAAAAAAGACAUGCAUAUUCUCGCGUAUACCAAUUGAUAUAUCAAUGGUAUACAGACUUUAGUCUGUCAUCAUACGUGGAAAAAUUGAAGGCGCCGCGCCGCACCGCACCGCACUAUGGUCCCAUAGCCCGAUUUAAGCGGCAAUAAAUCGAGAAAAUGA
rnacentral:lncRNA from 1 species